AUUUGAAAUGUAAUAUUAAUUACUUUCUUUUUCUUUUUUCUUUCUUUCGUUAAAACGUCGAAUCAUUUGUGUUAUUUGAUGAAAAUAGUUGAACGUAAUCAGGUAGCUCUAAUAAAUCUAAAUAUUUUUUUAUCCAAAGGGCUAACUUAACUUUUUCUAAAGUAUGCAAUAAAUAAUCAGGAAAAAGAGGUGAGCCAAGUAAAGGUAUAUAAGGAUCUCGUUUUCUCGUAGCCUUUUUAGCCCUUCCCCCUUUGAAGUGAUUGCGUGCGAGUAUCGUCAACGAAACGCGUCCAGAUUGAAUCGCACGUCCUUUGGAAAAUUAUUGACCAUUGGUUAGAACUGUUUUACGGGUCGUCGUGAUUCCUGGUGCUCGUUUCUCGUCUUGGUCGUUGUCGUUCUCGUUGUCGUCGUCGUGAUUAUCUCAGGCACGAAAGGAUCACUAAGAACGCACGAGAUCUUUGCGAUCACAAUCGUAUCUGACCCCUCUCUGCGAUUACAAUCGUACCUGACCCUGUCCACCGAAUAUAUAUAUAUAUAUUUGUAUCUAUUUUUGGAGAAAAUACAUUCGAAUAAUUUGCUGAAA